rnacentral:misc_RNA from 1 species
AAGUCGUAACAAGGUUUCCGUAGGUGAACCUGCGGAAGGAUCAUUAAAAAUACCUAUAUCCAUAGGAUACCCUUGUGCACAAUAAUUGUAUCUGGUAGCUCAAAACACUUUGCUGUUGUUUGUCUCGGUUAGAGGAAUUAAAACUCCUUUUAUCGGGGGGCUACCAACGGGGAAACCCGACUAUAAACUCUUAUUAUAUUUUUUAAUGUCUUAACUUAAUAUAAAUUAAUAUAUUAACAACUUUUGACAACGGAUCUCUUGGCUCUC